rnacentral:pre_miRNA from 9 species
UCUGGAUAGCGUAAAAGUUAACUUAAAUUUGUAUGAAAUUGGAACGCUUACCUAUGAUUGCCGCUAGGGGCGCUGUUCCAACGGCAUACAGAUUCGAGUUAACUUUUACGCUAUCGA